GAGUAUUUGACAGACUGUGGUUGACACUCGAUCUAAAGGGGUGUCAGUUUGUCAAAUACC
rnacentral:pre_miRNA from 2 species